GACGAACGUUGGCGGCGUGCCUAAUACAUGCAAGUAGAACGCUGAAGGAGGAGCUUGCUUCUCUGGAUGAGUUGCGAACGGGUGAGUAACGCGUAGGUAACCUGCCUGGUAGCGGGGGAUAACUAUUGGAAACGAUAGCUAAUACCGCAUAAUAGCAGUUGUUGCAUGACAACUGUUUGAAAGGUGCAAUUGCUCCACUACCAGAUGGACCUGCGUUGUAUUAGCUAGUUGGUGGGGUAACGGCUCACCAAGGCGACGAUGCAUAGCCGAACUGAGAGGGUGAUCGGCCACACUGGGAGUGAGACACGGCCCAGACUCCUACGGGAGGCAGCAGUAGGGAAUCUUAGGCAAUGGACGGAAGUCUGACCGAGCAACGCCGCGGGAGUGAAGAAGGUUUUCGGAUCGUAAAGCUCUGUUGUAAGAGAAGAACGAGUGUGAGAGUGGAAAGUUCACACUGUGACGGUAUCUUACCAGAAAGGGACGGCUAACUACGUG
rnacentral:rRNA from 1 species